GUGACCUCGAAUCAGUAAGACCAG
rnacentral:rRNA from 1 species